AUUUAUAAACAUCUUUUAUACAUUAUUUAUUUACUUUAAACAUCUUACAAAGUGUUAUAGUUUACCCUACGGCCUAUCGCCCAACAACGUUGUAAGUAAAUAUACAUCAAAAGGUACGUUGCAAGGACAACAAAAUACUACCGCUGGUUGGCCGCUCCUUCCGUCCAAAAGAGCAAAGUGUCUCCCGCCUAAGGGUUACCUGCACACACGAAUGAGUCAUGAGCAACUAGUUUACUCAGUGAAUCUAGAAUCAAAACACAAUCAAUAAUAAACCAAACAAUUAUCAAAUGGAUAUACAUGAUCAUGCAAGUACUAGUACUAUACUUUAAUAUCGAUCAUCAUUGUGAAUUCUUAUUUUAAACAUCACUUCCACAACACCCGCCCGUUACCAUACUCAUAUAAUACAAUAUAUAUACUAGACCCGAGAAACCACUAAGGCUAACCGAGACUAGUGAGUUAGCAUCACCAUCAUUGUCGAAUGUCCGGUAUGGACAAUCCGACACUGCAUCGUCAUGCAGUACACGGUCUCCAGGGAGCUACCCCAUCAUCGUGUCUUCAUGACCUUGUUCCGUUCGCAGGACCAAGUCACGGUAAUGCGGGGGCUUUAGGGAUAGUGAAUAUAACAAGAUUUCACAUGCUUUUACUUCCAUAAUUAUUCCAAAAUUAAUCCAUAAUUAAUCCUUAAUUAAUCAUAAUGAACUCUUAAUUAAUCCUAGAUUAAUCCUCAAUUAAUCUCAUAUUAAUCUUUAAUUAAUCCAAGAUUAGUACUUAAUUAAUCAUGAUUACUCUUAAAUUAAUUUCAGAUUAAUUCUUAAUUAAACCAAGAUUAAUCCUUAAUUAAACCAAGAUUAAUCCUUAAUUAAACCAAGAUUAAUCCUUAAUUAAACCAUGAUUAAUCCUUAAUUAAACCAUGAUUAAUCCUUAAUUAAACCAAGAUUAAUUCUUAAUUAAACCAUGAUUAAUCCUUAAUUAAACCAAGAUUAAUCCUUAAUUAAACCAUGAUUAUUUCAUAGUUAAGAUUAGUACUUGUUCACAAGUACUAAGAUGAGGAUUAACCUUACUUUAACAUUUUGAUUACCCUUAUGUAUAGUUCACAAUAAGUUAACACAACACCACUCUUAUAAACUUGAGAGACUUUACUAUCUUAAUCAAUCUCAACAUAUAUCUAGACUCACCUAAGAGAUUAGUCUUGGAACUGGUUGGAUACCUAAGGCCUUACUCCACCUCUUACCUGAAACUGAAGUGAAUGACUACAAGAUCAGUUUGGUUCAUGCUUUAACACCUUAGAUCAGAUCAGUUCAAACUUGGUUCCACUCAACUAUACCAGUUCAGCUUGGUUCUAGUCAGUCUACCAAAGUUCAGGAAAAGAUCAGACUGAGUUCAAAUUGGUUUAAUCAAAGCCAGAUCAGAACAUCAUAGCUGGUGGUUCUAAGAGGUUGAUUCAAACCGAAAUUACUCAAAAUCUGAACUAUAUCACCACUUAGAGAACUGAUCCGACCAAGUUCUUAUGUAAACAUCAACUAGCUCUGAUCAAGACAUGACUAAGGUAAGAGACCAAAGCUUACCAAGAUGAACCAAAGGACUAGAUGGCCUCAGCUGAUCCUCUUCUCCAAGAUUAGAUUGUGGCUGAACUGAUCAAAGAGAAAGAUCAAGGCCUGAUCAUGAUCUGAACUGAACUAGGUCUAGGGUUUUAUUUAAGAAUCUCACCUUCUGAUCUUUCUCACAGCAACUGACUGAGCUAGGGGUGAAGAUCAAAUCACCAACAAUUUUUUUCUUGAUUUUAUUUCCUGAUUUUCUCACUGAUUUUCUCUUCUUC
rnacentral:lncRNA from 1 species